rnacentral:lncRNA from 1 species
CUCUCCUCCUCUGACACCCCCAUCGAUGGGCUUGGUAGAUCGAGAGGGCUCCUACUCCCAGUCUACACGGUUCAUCUAUCUUUGAAGAACUGCUCCAACACCUUAUGAAUCAUAUCAGGAUCCUCCGACAACUGACCAUCCUCCCCCUGAUAACCCUAAUCCUGUUCCGCUGCCUCCUAAUCACUAUCAAUUGGUGAAAGAAUUUGGUGUUCCGAUCUCCCUCUAAGACUUACUGUACCCUCGACUUUUGUCUUCAAAAAAUCUCCUAUUGACGAAGUAAAGAAUCAUGCAUAGAUAGGAGUGAUCUGAGCUCUCCCAUCUCACCCUCCAAUAAGCCUCCCACCACAGUCUCCUGGGACUAUAGUCUGGCAAUGGCCUCCUCAGCCUCCUCAA